GUUAGGAAUAUUGGACAAUGGGCGCAAGUCUGAUCCAGCCAUGCCGCGUGAACGAUGAAGGCCUUCGGGUUGUAAAGUUCUUUAGCCGAUGAUUAUAAUGACUGUAGUCGGAAAAUAAGCCCCGGCUAACUUCGUGCCAGCAGCCGCGGUAAUACGAAGGGGGCGAGCGUUAUUCGGAAUCACUGGGCGUAAAGCGUGCGUAGGCGGUCUCGUAAGUUAGGAGUGAAAGCCCAGGGCUCAACCUUGGAAUUGCUCUUAAAACUGCAAGGCUAGAAUCUCGGAGAGGAUAGCGGAAUUUCCAGUGUAGCAGUGAAAUGCGUAGAUAUUGGAAGGAACACCAGUGGCGUAAGCGGCUAUCUGGACGAGUAUUGACGCUGAGGCACGAAAGCGUGGGGAUCAAACAGGAUUAGAUACCCCGGUAGUCC
rnacentral:rRNA from 1 species